rnacentral:rRNA from 1 species
UGGACAGAAAGACCCUAUGAAGCUUUACUGUAACUUGAAAUUGAAAUUGGACUUUAGUCGCGCAGUAUAGGUGGGAGGCUUUGAUGAUAUUCUUGCGGGAAUAUCGGAGCCGUAAGUGAGAUACCACUCUUCUAAUGUUAGAUUUCUAACUUUGAACCAUUAUCUGGUCAAAAGACAGUUUCAGGCGGGCAGUUUGACUGGGGCGGUCGCCUCCUAAAUGGUAACGGAGGCGUACAAAGGUUUCCUCUGAACGGGUAGAAAUCGUAUCUAGAGUAUAAAGGCAUAAGGAAGCUUGACUGUGAGACCUACAAGUCGAACAGGGACGAAAGUCGGUCUUAGUGAUCUGACGGUACUGAGUGGAAAGGCCGUCACUCAACGGAUAAAAGUUACUCUAGGGAUAACAGGCU